rnacentral:sRNA from 1 species
AUAUCCCACGCGGGCACUGCGGUUCCGGUGCGCCGUCCGCACCCACCUGACGACUGCUCGCUACGGGGUGUUGGCC